rnacentral:rRNA from 1 species
UGGGAAGUCGGGUGGACCACCAUCCAAGCCUAAAUACUACUCAGUGACCGAUAGCGUAUAGUACCGUGAGGGAAAGGUGAAAAGAACCCCGGGAGGGGAGUGAAAGAGAACCUGAAACCCUAUGUUUACAAGCAGAGGGAGCGAAAGCGACCUCGUACUUUUUGUAGAACGGGCCGGCGAGUUACUGUGUGCAGCGAGGUUAAGGCGUAGAGCGCCGGAGCCGAAGCGAGAGCGAGUCUGAAGAGGGCGAAAGUUGUGCGCAGUAGACCCGAAACCGGGUGACCUAUCCAUGGACAGGAUGAAGCGGCGGUAAGACGCCGUGGAGGUCCGAACCACACGUAUGUUGAAAAAUGCGGGGAUGAGCUGUGGAUAGCGGAGAAAUUCCAAUCGAACUCGGAGAUAGCUGGUUCUCCCCGAAAUAGCUUUAGGGCUAGCCUCGUUUUAAAUUACCGGGGGUAGAGCACUGAAUGGGCUAGGGGGCCACAAAGCUUACCGAACCCUAUCAAACUUCGAAUACCGGAUAAUUGAUGAACGGGAGUCAGACGGCGGGAGAUAAGUUUCGUCGUCAAAAGGGAAACAGCCCAGAUCUACGACUAAGGUCCCGAAAUCACAGUUAAGUGGAAAAGGAUGUGCAGUUGCACAGACAACCAGGAUGUUGGCUUAGAAGCAGCCACUCAUUUAAAGAGUGCGUAAUAGCUCACUGGUCGAGUGAUUGUGCGCCGAAAAUGUACCGGGGCUAAACUGUGUACCGAAGUCUAGGGAUCGUGAUAAACGAUCGGUAGGGGAGCAACGUGUGCGGGCUGAAGCCGAAGCGUAAGCGACGGUGGACUGCACGGGAGAGAGAAUGCCGGCAUGAGUAGCGAGAGCAAAGUGAGAAUCUUUGCCGUCGAAAGCCUAAGGUUUCCUGAGGAAGGCUCGUCCUCUCAGGGUAAGUCAGGACCUAAGCCGAGGACAAAAGUCGUAGGCGAUGGACAACUGGUUGAUAUUCCAGUACCACCUUUAGCGUUUGACUGAAGCAGUGACACAGAAGGAUAGACAGAGCGCGUGACUGGUAGAGCGCGUCCAAGCGAUGAGGGAGUUGAUUAGUGAAGUACGGUCAACAAUCCUGGGUCGUGAUGGGGACUGAAAAUAAGUAGGGAAGCUGUUGAAUUCACGCUGGCGAGAAAAGCUGCUAAGGAGCGAAAGGGUGCCUGUACCGCAAACCGACACAGGUAGGCGAGGAGAGAAUCCUAAGACGAGCGGGAGAACCCAUGUUAAGGAACUCGGCAAAAUGACCCUGUAACUUCGGGAUAAAGGGAGCCACGAGAGUGGCCGCAGAGAAUAGGCCCAAGCGACUGUUUACCAAAAACACAGGUCUGUGCGAAGUAGAGAUACGACGUAUACGGGCUGACGCCUGCCCAGUGCCGGAAGGUUAAGGGGAAGUGUUAGGGCAACCAAAGCACGGAACUUAAGCCCCGGUGAACGGCGGCCGUAACUAUAACGGUCCUAAGGUAGCGAAAUUCCUUGUCGGGUAA